AUUGAACGCUGGCGGCAGGCCUAACACAUGCAAGUCGAGCGAGCGGCGGACGGGUGAGUAAUGCCUAGGAAUCUGCCUGGUAGUGGGGGGUAAAGUCCGGCAACGGGCGCUAAUACCGCAUCCAUCAGAUGUGCCCAGAUGGGAUUAGCUAGUUGGUGGGGUAACGGCUCACCAAGGCGACGAUCCCUAGCUGGUCUCAGAGGAUGACCAGCCACACUGGAACUGAGACACGGUCCAGACUACUACGGGAGGCAGCAGUAGGGAAUAUUGCACAAUGGGAGCAAGCCUGAUGCAGCCAUGCCGCGUGUAUGAAGAAGGCCUUCGGGUUGAAAAGUACUUUCAGCGGGGAGGCGUUACCCGCAGAAGAAGCACCGGCUAACGCCGUACCAGCAGCCGAGGUAAUAC
rnacentral:rRNA from 1 species